UACGUAGGGGGCAAGCGUUGUCCGGAAUUAUUGGGCGUAAAGAGCGCGUAGGCGGUCCGAUAAGUCGGCUGUGAAAGUCCAGGGCUCAACCCUGGAAAGCCGGCCGAUACUGUCGGACUAGAGUCCGGAAGAGGCAAGUGGAAUUCCCGGUGUAGCGGUGGAAAUGCGCAGAUAUCGGGAAGGAACACCAAUUGCGAAAGGCAGCUUGGCCGAUGGGACGGU
rnacentral:rRNA from 1 species